GAGAGAGAACCAGAGAGACAAAAGGACGCAGGGACAGAGAGAGAUAGAGAGAGACACAGGGCCAGAGAGAGGAAAAAAGGGCCACAGAAAGGCAGAAAGAGAGAUACGUAGAGAGAGGAAAGACAGAGAAAAUGAGACAGAGAAUGAGAAAAAUAGAGGGACAGAGAGACAGAAAAAGACAGAGACAGAGACAUAGGGAGAGAGAUAGGAGAACAGACAGUCAGAGAGAGACAAAGAGAGACAGAAAAAGGGAACAACAGGAGUGGGGGGCAAAGAGAAAUCAAGAGACAGAGAGAGAGAGACAGAGACACACACACACACAGGAGAGAGUGCGAAGGACAGAGACAGGGAGACACUAGAGAUAAAGAGAAUCAGAGAGACAGGAAGAUAGAGGUGGAGAGAGAGACAGAGAGAGAGCCUCCGCACAUUUAGAGGGAAGAAGUCACACCUGACCCUGGUCCCCCAGUCCAGCGCCUUGACCAUAGCUUUCAGGUGUUACCAGGCAGCAGAAUGACUGUGGGGCACAUUCAAGCCCUGGCCAGGUCAGGGGAGGGAGGAGGCUAUGAAGCCCAUGACCAUUGGCCUCCAUGUCUGCCCAGCUGUCCACCUCUGCAUGAGGAUGAAGUCAAGCAAUGAGAAAGGUUAUCUAGGUGUGAGCUGGCCAAGAGGGGAGCUGCCAGGCAGCCCUUGGCCCUCAGGAGCUGGGCCCGCCCAGAGCAGGAGCAGAACUAAGAGGUGACAUUAUGAGUUCACUGCCUUCUUGACCAUCAAAACAAGCCAAGAACACAUCUCAGAGCUGCUUUCAACAAAGUGGGCUUUCCAUGUCUUCUAAAU
rnacentral:lncRNA from 1 species